GGGUGAUUAGCUCAGCUGGGAGAGCACCUCCGUUACAAGGAGGGGGUCGGCGGUUCGAUCCCGUCAUCACCCACCA
rnacentral:tRNA from 1 species